UACGAAGGGGACUAGCGUUGUUCGGAAUUACUGGGCGUAAAGCGCGUGUAGGCGGAUCGGAAAGUCAGGCGUGAAAUCCCUGGGCUCAACCCAGGAACUGCACUUGAAACUCCCGGUCUUGAGUGAUGGAGAGGAAAGCGGAAUUCCUGGUGUAGAGGUGAAAUUCGUAGAUAUCAGGAGGAACACCGGUGGCGAAGGCGGGUCUCUGGGCCGAUACUGACGCUGAGGAGCGAAAGCGUGGGAGCGAACAGG
rnacentral:rRNA from 1 species